AGUGAACGCUGGCGGUAGGCCUAACACAUGCAAGUCGAACGGCAGCACAGUAAGAGCUUGCUCUUACGGGUGGCGAGUGGCGGACUGGUGAGGAAUACAUCGGAAUCUACUUUUUCGUGGGGGAUAACGUAGGGAAACUUACGCUAAUACCGCAUACGACCUACGGGUGAAAGCAGGGGAUCUUCGGACCUUGCGCGAUUGAAUGAGCCGAUGUCGGAUUAGCUAGUUGGCGGGGUAAAGGCCCACCAAGGCGACGAUCCGUAGCUGGUCUGAGAGGAUGAUCAGCCACACUGGAACUGAGACACGGUCCAGACUCCUACGGGAGGCAGCAGUGGGGAAUAUUGGACAAUGGGCGCAAGCAUGAUCCAGCCAUACCGCGUGGGUGAAGAAGGCCUUCGGGUUGUAAAGCCCUUUUGUUGGGAAAGAAAAGCAGCAGGUUAAUACCCCGCUGUUCUGACGGUACCCAAAGAAUAAGCACCGGCUAACUUCGUG
rnacentral:rRNA from 1 species